AUGCAGAAAAAUCAUUUGACAAAAUUCUACACCCAUUGAUGAUAAAGAACUCUGACCAAACUAGAAAUAGAAGGAAAGUUCUUCAGCCAAAUAAAGAGCUACCACAGGAACAUACAAGGAAAGCUGAGAGAAUCCACAGACCCUCUGAAGGAACUGGAUCGCCACUGCAGGCUCCCUGAGAUGCUGAAAAACUCACCAUUCACAAUAGCAAAGACAUGGAGACAACCUAAAUGACCAUCAAUAGUAGACUGGAAUAAAGAGAAUGUAGUAUAUAUACACCACGGAAUACUAUGCAGCCAUUAAGAAGAACCAGAUUCAUGUCUGUCUCAGGCAGUGGUGAGACAAGAUGGUGGAUCCCCACACCAUUAUCCAUCAGACCCUGUGCUCCAUAGGGAAAGGGCAUAUGUGACUCAGAGGAAUGUGUAGGACAAUUGCCAAGCGCAAGACACAUGGAGGAUCCUCAUACAGUGGCUGGGUGAAGUGACUUUUGUUCUCUACUGCAAGUAGUGAUGUCUCAGUGAAGGUCUAUCAAUGAGAAGAAAGUGCCAACUGAAAACUUUUAGAAAAUACCCAGUUUACUCAAGGAAAAUAACAUGCAUUGAAGGUGAUUGCUCAAUAGAGAGAAGUUGAAACAGCAGACUAAUUGCCUGUUUGUGACACCCAUGUAAUCAACUUGGUGAAAGUUACAUUGAUACAGACACAAGCGAAAAAUUUGAUGGCCAAUAGGGGACAUGAUCCAUUUUCCAGUGCCUAUAGGUUGAGGUUGAUCUGAAAGAUAGGACUAUUUGUGAUCCAGAAUCAAAAGAGUCAAGAAAAGUCUGAGAAUUUCAUCCUUGGAGCAGAAAGUGAAAGUGUUCUGGAGCCAAAAGUAGUAACAAAGAUGGAGGGCAAGAGA
rnacentral:lncRNA from 1 species